UACAGAGGUCUCAAGCGUUGUUCGGAUUCAUUGGGCGUAAAGCGUCUGUAGGUGGCUUUUUAAGUCUGCCGUCAAAUCCCAGGGCUUAACCCUGGACAGGCGGUGGAAACUACCAAGCUGGAGUACGGUAGGGGCAGAGGGAAUUUCCGGUGGAGCGGUGAAAUGCGUAGAGAUCGGAAAGAACACCAACGGCGAAGGCAGCGUCCUGGCGAGUCACUGACGCUCAGGUGCGAAAGCUAGGGGAGCGAACGGG
rnacentral:rRNA from 1 species